rnacentral:rRNA from 1 species
GACGAACGCUGGCGGCGUGCUUAACACAUGCAAGUCGAACGGUGAAAGCAGAGCUUGCUCCGCUGGAUCAGUGGCGUACGGGUGAGUAACACGUGGGCAACCUGCCCCUCACUUCGGGAUAACUCCGGGAAACCGGGGCUAAUACCGGAUAUGACCUCCUUGGGCAUCCUUGGAGGUGGAAAGUUUUUCGGUGAGGGAUGGGCCCGCGGCCUAUCAGCUUGUUGGUGAGGUAGUGGCUCACCAAGGCGACGACGGGUAGCCGGCCUGAGAGGGGAACCGGCCACACUGGGACUGGGACACGGCCCAGACUCCUACGGGAGGCAGCAGUGGGGAAUAUUGCACAAUGGGCGCAAGCCUGAUGCAGCAACGCCGCGUGAGGGAUGACGGCCUUCGGGUUGUAAACCUCUUUUAGUAGGGAAGAAGCGAAAGUGACGGUACCUGCAGAAAAAGCACCGGCUAACUACGUGCCAGCAGCCGCCGUAA